rnacentral:rRNA from 1 species
AGUGAACGCUGGCGGUAGGCCUAACACAUGCAAGUCGAACGGCAGCACAGUAAGAGCUUGCUCUUACGGGUGGCGAGUGGCGGACGGGUGAGGAAUACAUCGGAAUCUACUUUUUCGUGGGGGAUAACGUAGGGAAACUUACGCUAAUACCGCAUACGACCUACGGGUGAAAGCAGGGGAUCUUCGGACCUUGCGCGAUUGAGUGAGCCGAUGUCGGAUUAGCUAGUUGGCGGGGUAAAGGCCCACCAAGGCGACGAUCCGUAGCUGGUCUGAGAGGAUGGUCAGCCACACUGGAACUGAGACACGGUCCAGGCUCCUACGGGAGGCAGCAGUGGGGAAUAUUGGACAAUGGGCGCAAGCCUGAUCCAGCCAUACCGCGUGGGUGAAGAAGGCCUUCGGGUUGUAAAGCCCUUUUGUUGGGAAAGAAAAGCAGCAGGUUAAUACCCCGCUGUUCUGACGGUACCCAAAGAAUAAGCACCGGCUAACUUCGUG